UAGGAAUCAAAGGUAUACAAUAACAUAAUAAUUUAUCUGAUGUUAUUAUGUUAUUGUAUACCUUUGAUUCCUA